GAUGAACGCUGGCGGCGUGCCUAAUACAUGCAAGUCGAGCGAAUGGAUUAAGAGCUUGCUCUUAUGAAGUUAGCGGCGGACGGGUGAGUAACACGUGGGUAACCUGCCCAUAAGACUGGGAUAACUCCGGGAAACCGGGGCUAAUACCGGAUAAUAUUUUGAACUGCAUGGUUCAAAAUUGAAAGGCGGCUUCGGCUGUCACUUAUGGAUUGACCCGCGUCGCAUUAGCUAGUUGGUGAGGUAACGGCUCACCAAGGCAACGAUGCGUAGCCGAGCUGAGGGGGUGAUCGGCCAGACUGGGACUGAGACACGGCCCAGGCGCCUACGGGAGGCAGCCGUAGGGAAUCUUCCGCAAUGGACGAAAGUCUGACGGAGCAACGCCGCGUGAGUGAUGAAGGCUUUCGGGUCGUAAAACUCUGUUGUUAGGGAAGAACAAGUGCUAGUUGAAUAAGCUGGCACCUUGACGGUACCUAACCAGAAAGCCACGGCUAACUACGUGCCAGCCGCCGCCGUAA
rnacentral:rRNA from 1 species